rnacentral:piRNA from 1 species
UGCAACAAUACCAUCUGCAGCUGAG